CGGUAACAGGCCGCAAGGUGCUGACGAGUGGCGAACGGGUGAGUAAUGCAUCGGAACGUGCCCAGUCGUGGGGGAUAACGCAGCGAAAGCUGCGCUAAUACCGCAUACGAUCUAUGGAUGAAAGCGGGGGACCGUAAGGCCUCGCGCGAUUGGAGCGGCCGAUGUCAGAUUAGGUAGUUGGUGGGGUAAAGGCUCACCAAGCCAACGAUCUGUAGCUGGUCUGAGAGGACGACCAGCCACACUGGGACUGAGACACGGCCCAGACUCCUACGGGAGGCAGCAGUGGGGAAUUUUGGACAAUGGGCGCAAGCCUGAUCCAGCAAUGCCGCGUGCAGGAAGAAGGCCUUCGGGUUGUAAACUGCUUUUGUACGGAACGAAACGGCCCUGGUUAAUACCUGGGGCUAAUGACGGUACCGUAAGAAUAAGCACCGGCUAACUACGUGCCAGCAGCCGCGGUAAUACGUAGGGUGCAAGCGUUAAUCGGAAUUACUGGGCGUAAAGCGUGCGCAGGCGGUUUUGUAAGACAGGCGUGAAAUCCCCGGGCUUAACCUGGGAAUUGCGCUUGUGACUGCAAAGCUGGAGUGCGGCAGAGGGGGAUGGAAUUCCGCGUGUAGCAGUGAAAUGCGUAGAUAUGCGGAGGAACACCGAUGGCGAAGGCAAUCCCCUGGGCCUGCACUGACGCUCAUGCACGAAAGCGUGGGGAGCANACAGGAUUAGAUACCCUGGUAGUCCACGCCCUAAACGAUGUCAACUGGUUGUUGGGUCUCUUCUGACUCAGUAACGAAGCUAACGCGUG
rnacentral:rRNA from 1 species